AGUCUCUCCGCUCCCCGUCGGCGUGCUGUCAGUGACGCGCCGGCGGGGGGCGGUUCCUUCAAGCCAGGAGGGCAGGUGCCACGGAUGGCGCAAU
rnacentral:sRNA from 1 species